GACGAACGCUGGCGGCGUGCUUAACACAUGCAAGUCGAACGGAAAGGCCCUGCUUUUGUGGGGUGCUCGAGUGGCGAACGGGUGAGUAACACGUGAGUAACCUGCCCUGGACUUUGGGAUAACUUCAGGAAACUGGGGCUAAUACCGGAUAGGAUCUCCUGCUGCAUGGUGGGGGUGGGAAAGUUUCGGCGGUUGGGGAUGGACGCGCGGCUUAUCAGCUUGUUGGUGGGGUAGUGGCGUACCAAGGCUUUGACGGGUAGCCGGCCUGAGAGGGUGACCGGCCACAUUGGGACUGAGCUACGGCCCAGACUCCUACGGGACGGAGCGGUGGGGAAUAUUGCCCAAUGGGCGGAAGCCUGGUCCAGCAACGCCGCGUGCGGGAUGACGGCCUUCGGGUUGUAAUCCGCUUUCGCCUGUGACGAGGAGUGAGUGACGGUAAUGGGUAAAGAAGCACCGGCUAACUACGUG
rnacentral:rRNA from 1 species